GAUGAACGCUGGCGGCGUGCCUAAUACAUGCAAGUCGAGCGAACAGACGAGGAGCUUGCUCCUCUGACGUUAGCGGCGGACGGGUGAGUAACACGUGGAUAACCUACCUAUAAGACUGGGAUAACUUCGGGAAACCGGAGCUAAUACCGGAUAAUAUAUUGAACCGCAUGGUUCAAUAGUGAAAGACGGUUUUGCUGUCACUUAUAGAUGGAUCCGCGCCGCAUUAGCUAGUUGGUAAGGUAACGGCUUACCAAGGCAACGAUGCGUAGCCGACCUGAGAGGGUGAUCGGCCACACUGGAACUGAGACACGGUCCAGACUCCUACGGGAGGCAGCAGUAGGGAAUCUUCCGCAAUGGGCGAAAGCCUGACGGGGCAACGCCGCGUGAGUGAUGAAGGUCUUCGGAUCGUAAAACUCUGUUAUUAGGGAAGAACAAAUGUGUAAGUAACUAUGCACGUCUUGACGGUACCUAAUCAGAAAGCCACGGGUAACUACGUG
rnacentral:rRNA from 1 species